AUGAAGCCGGAAUUGCUAGUAAUGGCAGGUCAGCAUACUGCCGUGAAUACGUUCCCGGGCCUUGUACACACCGCCCGUCACACCAUGAGAGUUGGGGAUACCCAAAGCCCGUGAGCCAACUUAUAGAGGCAGCGGUCUAAGGUAGAAUCAAUGAUUGGGGUGAAGUCGUAACAAGGUACC
rnacentral:rRNA from 1 species